GUCCAAAAAAGCUGGUAUUAAUCACAAAAUGACAUUACAUGGAUACAUAUGCAACUUUAAUUUCCUGAGUUUUCAUUACACCUCAAAAAGAGAAGGGCAAUACUAAAAGGAAAAUGUUGAAAUUGAUGGGAACUCAAAUCAACUUUUACAAAACAGAGGUGUGAAAAAAAUUAGUUGACAGUAACUUUGCCAACCAUUCCAGCUCCCUGGUGAGGUGCACAGUAGAAAGUGUAAGUUCCUUUCUCACUCAAAGUGACACUGUAUGUCUCUCCUGCUGCAUUCAGAAGAUCCUCUUCAGACAUGGAAAUCUUACUAGCAUCCACACCAGCUGGGAUUUCAUCUUCAUCAAAUACGACGUUGUGUGGGAACCCUGCAUUGUUCUUGAAUGUAAUUUUCUCACCAGCACUAACGCUGAAGUUCCCAGGAAUAAAAGCUAGACUCCCAUCAUCACCACCAAGCAACACUUCAAGUGCCAUGGCAUUGCUAGCAAGCAUCGCGCUAACAGCGGUGGCAGCAACCACAGCACCGACAUCUUUCAAAGACGCCUUCACAGUCAAUCUGGCAACUGGGGCAGCUGCCACCUUAGCGGAUGCACCGGUGCUAACUCUGGAAGAUGAUGAAGCACCAGCCUUAAGGCCAGUGAAAGAUGGAAUAGCAACAGCAGCAGAGGUAACAGUGGCCAUUGUUUAUUAAUAUGCUUCUUGUUGUUGCUUUUGUGAUUGAAAAUUUGGAAUCAAGAAAAGGGGAGUAGGAGUUGAUGGGGUUUUAAUA
rnacentral:misc_RNA from 1 species